rnacentral:rRNA from 1 species
UGGGGAAUAUUGCACAAUGGGCGCAAGCCUGAUGCAGCCAUGCCGCGUGUAUGAAGAAGGCCUUCGGGUUGUAAAGUACUUUCAGCGGGGAGGAAGGGAGUAAAGUUAAUACCUUUGCUCAUCGACGUUACCCGCAGAAGAAGCACCGGCUAACUCCGUGCCAGCAGCCGCGGUAAUACGGAGGGUGCAAGCGUUAAUCGGAAUUACUGGGCGUAAAGCGCACGCAGGCGGUUUGUUAAGUCAGAUGUGUAAUCCCCGGGCUCAACCUGGGAACUGCAGCUGAUACUGGCAAGCUUGAGUCUCGUAGAGGGGGGUAGGAUUCCAGGUGUAGCGGUGAAAUGCGUAGAGAUCUGGAGGAAUACCGGUGGCGAAGGCGGCCCCCUGGACGAAGACUGAAGCUCAGGUGCGAAAGCGUGGGGAGCAAACAGG